UACGGAGGGUGCGAGCGUUGUCCGGAAUCACUGGGCGUAAAGGGCGCGUAGGUGGCGCGAGGAGUCUGUGGUGAAAGCCCGAGGCUCAACUUCGGGUCGGCCGCGGAUACUCUCGUGCUGGAGGGUGGUAGAGGCCAAUGGAAUUCCGGGUGUAGCGGUGGAAUGCGUAGAGAUCGGAAGGAACACCAGUGGCGAAGGCGGCUACCUGGCCUAAUACUGACACUGAGGCACGGAAAGCGUGGGGAGCAAACAGG
rnacentral:rRNA from 1 species